GUAGGUGGCAAGCGUUGUCCGGAAUUAUUGGGCGUAAAGCGCGCGCAGGCGGUUCUUUAAGUCUGAUGUGAAAGCCCACGGCUCAACCGUGGAGGGUCAUUGGAAACUGGAGAACUUGAGUACAGAAGAGGAAAGCGGAAUUCCACGUGUAGCGGUGAAAUGCGUAGAGAUGUGGAGGAACACCAGUGGCGAAGGCGGCUUUCUGGUCUGUAACUGACGCUGAGGCGCGAAAGCGUGGGGAGCAAACAGGAUUAGAUACCCUGGCAGUCCACGCCGUAAACGAUGAGUGCUAAGUGUUAGGGGGUUUCCCCGCCCCUUAGUGCUGCAGCUAACGCAUUAAGCACUCCGCCUGGGAGUACGGCCGCAAGGCUG
rnacentral:rRNA from 1 species